rnacentral:rRNA from 1 species
AGGAGGUUGGCUUAGAAGCAGCCACCCUUUAAAGAAAGCGUAAUAGCUCACUAGUCGAGUCGGCCUGCGCGGAAGAUGUAACGGGGCUAAACGUAUAACCGAAGCUGCGGAUGCGUGCUUGCACGCAUGGUAGAGGAGCGUUCUGUACGCCUGCGAAGGUGAACUGAGAAGUUUGCUGGAGGUAUCAGAAGUGCGAAUGCUGACAUGAGUAACGAUAAAGCGGGUGAAAAGCCCGCUCGCCGGAAGUCCAAGGUUUUCUGCGCAACGUUAAUCGGCGCAGAGUAAGUCGGCCCCUAAGGUGAGGCUGAAGAGCGUAAUCGAUGGGAAACGGGU